UACGGAGGAUGCAAGCGUUAUCCGGAAUUAUUGGGCGUAAAGGGUCCGCAGGUGGUUAUGCAAGUCAGUCGUUAAAUAUUCGGGCUUAACCCGGACAAGGCGGUUGAGACUGUGUGACUAGAGUACGGUAGGGGCAGAGGGAAUUCCUAGUGUAGCGGUGAAAUGCGUAGAUAUUAGGAAGAACACCAGUGGCGAAGGCGCUCUGCUGGGCCUGUACUGACACUGAGGGACGAAAGCUAGGGGAGCGAAAGGG
rnacentral:rRNA from 1 species